GCCUCUGUUCGCUGGUCCGCCUUUUUGGUGUGUACUGGUCUGGACGGUGGCUUACCUCUUGGUGAGGCUUCAUGCCCUUUACUGGGUGUGGAGUUGAACCCGGACUUUUACUUUGAAGAAAUCAGAGUGUUCAAAGCAGGCUUAUGCCCGAAUGUGUUAGCAUGGAAUAAUAGAAUAGGACGAGCGUUUCUAUUUUGUUGGUUUCUAGGAUCGCCGUA
rnacentral:rRNA from 1 species